GCACCGGUAGUGUAACGGUUAGCAUAGGAGCCUUCCAAGCUCUUGAUUCGGGUUCAAAUCCCGACCGGUGCA
rnacentral:tRNA from 1 species